rnacentral:lncRNA from 1 species
UGGAAGAGCAUGUGACUCUUGAUCUCAGGGUCAUUGAGUUCAAGCCUCAUUUUCUUAAAAAAAAGUUUAUGUUGUAAAAGUAUAUAUAUAUAUAUAUAUAUAUAUAUUUUUUUUUUUUUUUUUUUUUUUUUUUUUUUUAAUGACUAGUGGUGUUCAGAGUGAGGAGUGAAAGCUCUCUAUGUAAUCUUACCCUUCAGAGAUAAUCCCUUGUUUUCAAGACGUGGACACUACUGUUGGGAGAAGUGAAACCAAUGAUUCUGUGGCAGAGCAAGGACAGGGGUCCGUGAUCCCUCUGUCCAAUGCUCUUUCCACCUACUCCUCUUCGAAGGAUGCCUCUACCAGCACCCCAGGUCCUCAGAAACUUUUUGAUGCCAUCGAUAAGGAGGUGACUGACUCAUUCCUCACGCAUCAGUAAAGGUGAUCGCACACUUUUCUGGAAGCCUGAAGCCAUGCCUCCAAACUCGAUUCUUCCGGAUUGUAGGAAACACACCCCGUGGCUGAUUCGUCCUCCACUCCUCUGGCUUUGCAUCCAUCAGUCUUUCUUCACAAGGCUUCACUUUUCAGAACCAGGUUCCCGGAGGUUAUAGAUUCGCAACAAAGAAAGCAGAACUGAGCAUUCUCGAGUUCCUGAUGUUAUUUGAACUAACAACGACAGCCACAGAAACCCUACCGUUUGCCCAAAGUAGCAUCCAAAUGACAGAGACUAACAGAAUAUUGAUUCUGCUUCACAAGAAGGAGGUGAAAGGCACCAAAAGCAGAAGUGUUUGCUAGUGUUCAUUGCUUGCCACUUACCGUGGCAAAUAUUGGACGAUAGAAAACUUGCCUCCACUCUCUGCACCUCAGUUUAUUCAUCUGUGAAGUGGACGUAACAGUAGCAU